AUGCACAUGCUGUGAGCUCGAUGAGUAGGGCGGGACACGUGGUAUCCUGUCUGAAUAUGGGGGGACCAUCCUCCAAGGCUAAAUACUCCUGACUGACCGAUAGUGAACCAGUACCGUGAGGGAAAGGCGAAAAGAACCCCGGCGAGGGGAGUGAAAAAGAACCUGAAACCGUGUACGUACAAGCAGUGGGAGCACAGAGCAAUCUGUGUGACUGCGUACCUUUUGUAUAAUGGGUCAGCGACUUAUAUUCUGUAGCAAGGUUAACCGAAUAGGGGAGCCGAAGGGAAACCGAGUCUUAACUGGGCGUUAAGUUGCAGGGUAUAGACCCGAAACCCGGUGAUCUAGCCAUGGGCAGGUUGAAGGUUGGGUAACACUAACUGGAGGACCGAACCGACUAAUGUUGAAAAAUUAGCGGAUGACUUGUGGCUGGGGGUGAAAGGCCAAUCAAACCGGGAGAUAGCUGGUUCUCCCCGAAAGCUAUUUAGGUAGCGCCUCGUGAAUUCAUCUCCGGGGGUAGAGCACUGUUUCGGCAAGGGGGUCAUCCCGACUUACCAACCCGAUGCAAACUGCGAAUACCGGAGAAUGUUAUCACGGGAGACACACGGCGGGUGCUAACGUCCGUCGUGAAGAGGGAAACAACCCAGACCGCCAGCUAAGGUCCCAAAGUCAUGGUUAAGUGGGAAACGAUGUGGGAAGGCCCAGACAGCCAGGAUGUUGGCUUAGAAGCAGCCAUCAUUUAAAGAAAGCGUAAUAGCUCACUGGUCGAGUCGGCCUGCGCGGAAGAUGUAACGGGGCUAAACCAUGCACCGAAGCUGCGGCAGCGACACUAUGUGUUGUUGGGUAGGGGAGCGUUCUGUAAGCCUGUGAAGGUGUACUGUGAGGUAUGCUGGAGGUAUCAGAAGUGCGAAUGCUGACAUAAGUAACGAUAAAGCGGGUGAAAAGCCCGCUCGCCGGAAGACCAAGGGUUCCUGUCCAACGUUAAUCGGGGCAGGGUGAGUCGACCCCUAAGGCGAGGCCGAAAGGCGUAGUCGAUGGGAAACAGGUUAAUAUUCCUGUACUUGGUGUUACUGCGAAGGGGGGACGGAGAAGGCUAUGUUGGCCGGGCGACGGUUGUCCCGGUUUAAGCGUGUAGGCUGGUUUUCCAGGCAAAUCCGGAAAAUCAAGGCUGAGGCGUGAUGACGAGGCACUACGGUGCUGAAGCAACAAAUGCCCUGCUUCCAGGAAAAGCCUCUAAGCAUCAGGUAACAUCAAAUCGUACCCCAAACCGACACAGGUGGUCAGGUAGAGAAUACCAAGGCGCUUGAGAGAACUCGGGUGAAGGAACUAGGCAAAAUGGUGCCGUAACUUCGGGAGAAGGCACGCUGAUAUGUAGGUGAAGUCCCUCGCGGAUGGAGCUGAAAUCAGUCGAAGAUACCAGCUGGCUGCAACUGUUUAUUAAAAACACAGCACUGUGCAAACACGAAAGUGGACGUAUACGGUGUGACGCCUGCCCGGUGCCGGAAGGUUAAUUGAUGGGGUCAGCGCAAGCGAAGCUCUUGAUCGAAGCCCCGGUAAACGGCGGCCGUAACUAUAACGGUCCUAAGGUAGCGAAAUUCCUUGUCGGGUAAGUUCCGACCUGCACGAAUGGCGUAAUGAUGGCCAGGCUGUCUCCACCCGAGACUCAGUGAAAUUGAACUCGCUGUGAAGAUGCAGUGUACCCGCGGCAAGACGGAAAGACCCCGUGAACCUUUACUAUAGCUUGACACUGAACAUUGAGCCUUGAUGUGUAGGAUAGGUGGGAGGCUUUGAAGUGUGGACGCCAGUCUGCAUGGAGCCGACCUUGAAAUACCACCCUUUAAUGUUUGAUGUUCUAACGUUGACCCGUGAUCCGGGUUGCGGACAGUGUCUGGUGGGUAGUUUGACUGGGGCGGUCUCCUCCUAAAGAGUAACGGAGGAGCACGAAGGUUGGCUAAUCCUGGUCGGACAUCAGGAGGUUAGUGCAAUGGCAUAAGCCAGCUUGACUGCGAGCGUGACGGCGCGAGCAGGUGCGAAAGCAGGUCAUAGUGAUCCGGUGGUUCUGAAUGGAAGGGCCAUCGCUCAACGGAUAAAAGGUACUCCGGGGAUAACAGGCUGAUACCGCCCAAGAGUUCAUAUCGACGGCGGUGUUUGGCACCUCGAUGUCGGCUCAUCACAUCCUGGGGCUGAAGUAGGUCCCAAGGGUAUGGCUGUUCGCCAUUUAAAGUGGUACGCGAGCUGGGUUUAGAACGUCGUGAGACAGUUCGGUCCCUAUCUGCCGUGGGCGCUGGAGAACUGAGGGGGGCUGCUCCUAGUACGAGAGGACCGGAGUGGACGCAUCACUGGUGUUCGGGUUGUCAUGCCAAUGGCACUGCCCGGUAGCUAAAUGCGGAAGAGAUAAGUGCUGAAAGCAUCUAAGCACGAAACUUGCCCCGAGAUGAGUUCUCCCUGACCCUUUAAGGGUCCUGAAGGAACGUUGAAGACGACGACGUUGAUAGGCCG
rnacentral:rRNA from 1 species